GAGUACAGUGUAAAACAUGUUUUGAAAUAUCAUCUUUUUAUGGUUUUCGUAAAAAAUUUAACGUUUAUAACAAUAUGCAUACGCGUAUAUGUAUUUAUCUAUGGCUAAAAUAUACUCGUACACGUUUAGCUCAAUAGCCGCCAAUAUCACAUUUCAUCGAUUACUUCAUUGUGAACCUCCUCUGUUAGCUCAUCCUCCCCAACCGGUCGGAUAGCGAAAAAUUAUAUCACGUAUUGUUUGUCUGGUUAAAGAUUACCCGAAAAAUUCUAAAGAAGACGUGUCGUAAUAUUUUGAAAUUUUAUUCCCGUUACACAAAAGCCCGGGUUCAAUCCAUUUUUCAAUCCAAACGAUUAUCGCGAAGGCACACUUCGAUUGGCAAUAUAUGUAACGUUAAGUGUUAACGUCA